GAAACAACAACAACAACAUGUAGAGAAAAUAGUUAAAUAAGAUUUUUUUUCGUGGUCUAUUUAUCCAUUUUCGUUAAUAGAAGAAUAUCGAAUGAAAACGAAUCAAAAUGGGAAACUAUAAAUCAAGGCCAAAUAUAUCUUGUGCAGAAGAGUUGAAGAAGAAGAUCAGUGAGAGUAACUCACUUUUUCGGUCCCACAUAAGUGAAGAUCUUCGGCCGGUGCUGCAGACAGAAUGGUCAGAACUUCAGCUGGCUUGCAGUGGUUGUGAUACAGGCCAUGUAAUAUCGUUGCUAACAGAGGAAAACAUCCAUGAGGUGACGGACACUGGCCUUACCCUGCUUCAUGUGGCUUGCAUUUCUGGGGGUAGCAAACAUUUAGUAGAAGUUCUGUUACAAAAAGGGAUCAAGCCAGGAAUCCUGUCCAAAAAUCAGUUCUCUGCCUUGCAUUUGGCAACAUACAAAGGCGACAUAGACUGUGUACAGGCUCUGCUAGAAAGCAGUGUAGAUGUGAACCAGACAGGUCACAGUGGCCUAACUAGUCUGCACAUAGCGGCCAUGUGUGGCCACAGAGAGAUUGCCAGCUGCCUUCUACAGAAUGGAGCCAAUGUCAACGUUGAAGAUGCUGUGAAGUUUACACCACUGCACAUUACUUGCAACUUUGGUCAUGACAAGGUUGCGGAAGUCCUGUUGCAACACGGGGCCGAUGUGAACAUUGCGGGCAGCGUGGGCGACAGACCUCUCCACCUGGCCUGUGGGAAGGGCUAUGUGCGGGUCACACAGCUGCUUGUGGAAGGUAGCGGGAAAUCCAAGGCCGAUGUGAAUGUGAGGGAUGAUGAAGAGCACACUCCUAUCCAUUUCUGCUGCAAGUCUGGCCACCUGGUGGUCCUUCACUACCUGCUGGAACAGAAUGCCGAUCCACAUUGUGUCAAUAUCUAUGGCGACACACCACUGCACCUGGCUUGUUACCAUGGUAAACUGGAGAUUGUGAGACAGCUUAUCUCCAGGACAGGGCUGGACAGCGUUGCCAAGGAGAACAUCUUUAGUGAGACACCACUGCAUAGUGCAUGCACAAGUGGGAGGAGUGUGGAGAUGAUCAAGUUCCUGCUGGACCAGCCUGGAGUGAAGGCAAACUGUCAGGGGAAAGACGGGCAUACCGCGUUGCACAGUGCCUGUUACCAUGGUCACCUGCGUGUGGUUCAGUACCUACUUGAGAAAGGCGCCGACAUCAACCUGGUGGCACAUGUCAGCGACCAGAACGGGGGCAGCGAAAAACGAGAGGAGCAGACGGCACUCAUGUGGGCAUAUGAACAAGGUCAUGACGCCAUAGUAACACUGGUUAAGCAUCACAAGCGACCCCAUGAUGAGUCCGCCCAUGGAGACUACAGCCAGCCCGGCGGGGAGGGCUCCUAUGUGUCCGUACCGUCUCCCAUCGGCAAGCUCAAGAGUAUGACAAGAGAGAAGAUAGAGGUGCUCCAGCUGCGUGCUGACUUGCCCCACCAGUUCCACAUCCUGAUCUCAGACAUUGACUUCCAGGACGUGAUUGGCAGUGGGUCCUUUGGCAAGGUCUACAAGGGACGCUGCAGGGGCAAGACAGUCGCAGUCAAGAGAUACAAGGCGAGCUGUUUUGGCACGAAGUCAGACGUGGACAUGUUCUGUCGUGAGGUAGCCAUACUUUCCAAGCUGAACAGCCCCUACGUCAUACAGUUCAUGGGGGCAUGCUUGGAUGACCCUAGUCAAUUUGCCAUAGUGACACAGUAUGUUGCAGGCGGGUCUCUGUUCAGCCUUCUUCAUGAGCAGAAAAGAUUGCUGGACAUCCACUCAAAGCUGAUCAUAGCAACAGAUGUCGCUAGGGGCAUGAAGUACCUUCACACUCUUCCCCAGCCAAUCAUUCACCGCGACCUCAACAGUCAAAACAUACUUCUAGAGGAGAACGGAAGGGCGAUUGUGGCUGACUUUGGAGAGUCCCAGUUCCUGCGGACAUUAGAAGACAACAUGACCAAGCAGCCCGGGAACCUGCGCUGGAUGGCUCCAGAGAUCUUCACGCAGUGCACCAAGUACAGUAUCAAGGCGGACGUGUUCAGCUUCUCUUUGUGUUUGUGGGAACUGUUGGCUGGGGAGCUACCCUUUGCGCACCUGAAACCAGCUGCGGCUGCAGCAGAGAUGGCCUACCAUCAGACCCGCCCACCCAUAGCUGUCACAUUUCCUAAACCACUCGUGUCCUUGCUUCAGUGUGGAUGGAAUCCUAACCCAGAGGAAAGACCAGAUUUUGCAGAGAUUCUGCCCAUACUUGAGGAAUGUAAACAGUCCGGCACAGUGAUGUUGCUUAGCAACCCCUCUGGGUACCAGUCUCUGUCCGCCAGUCUCCCAGCAGUGAUCCGGGACCACGAUGGUAUCCUUGACGAUGGCAGGUCCACUCCGCCCUUGGCGGGAAAUGUCAGUGCUUUGAAGAGCCGCUGGGAACAAACUGUCCAGCAGCAUAGUGUGGAUGACUUAAGAACAAGGCUACCAUUCCCACAGUUAGACAAAUAUGGUUAUGUGUGCGACCCCCUGAGUACCCUUAGAAUCUCCAUCCCUCUGGAGCAGAGAAGAGAGGCCUCAAAGUCCAGCCCUAAUUCACAGGCCCAAUGAUCCGAUAAUGUUUUAAGAUCCAUCUUGAUGUUUAUCACAAAUACUCAGUCAAUAGCAAUAGCAUUCAUUAUUAUGUAAUAAGUUUUCCGAUUGGUCAAUAUUUGAAGUUGAGAUAUAAAACAAGUCUGCCAUUGGUCAAUUUAUAAAGUUUGGCUAUGGAACAAACUUUGCCAUAUCUGAAUUGUGUAGGCCUAGUUAUGUUACAAACUUGUGUUGUGGUUCAUAAAUUGAAAUAUGUUACACUCUUUGCCAUUGUUCAAUAUUGUAAAUUCGAAUUCUGUUUGAUAUAUACACUGUUCAAAGUCUUUUGUGCCAGAUACCAAACCAAGGAGCUUGUGCUCCUUAUACUCUUUGUAAAAGAAAUAUGUGAGCCCUGCAUUUAACAAGCCAUGGUACAUUGAAACCUACAAGUUGAUAUCCUACUUUGUAACAUAAGUAUAUUCUGAUAUGACAUUUUGAUAUCGGUCUUUGCACACGCAUGUCCUCUAGGUUUCUUAAUGGUUGGUAUAUCUCAACAACAUUUACCUUGCACUGGUUAUCUCCCAUUGGCAUAAUUAUACGCUUGAUUUGUUUUGCUAUAUUUGUAAUCUUAUUUGUUAGUGAACGUUUUGCAUGAGUUUAAUCUGAGCCUAACAGUACAGUUAGUGAGGAAAACUUCAAUUGAUUUCAGUCGCUUCAUAUAUUCGCUGUUAUGGUAUUAAAAUAUAUUCAUACAUAAAGGUUAGUGCCAGGUUAUUGUUGGUGCUCUAUAUAUUGAACACUAUAAAGCUGUUACACAGAGAAGGUGGUAUCUUUGAAGAGCUAUUUAAAGGCAAGAUGUUGGUUAUUUUAUUAUAUUUUAAGAACCUUUUUACGAGAAGUUUUAGUGAAUCACCAGUCUUUCAUGCAUUUCAAAAAUCAUGUUCAUUAGAUUUUUUUCUCAUGUCAUCUCAAUAUUGGUGCUUUAGUAAAUAAAUGUAUGACAUGCAUCUAUGUUAAAUUACAACUUUAUAUGGUUGUAUUUACAUUUGUUUUCUUUUUCAGUUGUUGGAUUCUUUAGUUGUUUUGAAUAUUAAUGCUGUAUGUUUUGAAUAUUAAUGCUGUAUGCUGAUUUUUUAACCAGGUUUUCCGAAGGAAAAAACUGGUUAUUAGAUUGGCGAAUGCGGGCGGGCUGGCUGGCUGGCUGGCUGGCGGGCUGGCUGGCUGGCGGGCUGGCGGAAUAAGCUUGUCGGGGCCAUAACUAUGUCGUUCAUUGUCAGAUUUUAAAAUCAUUUGGCACAUUUGUUCACCAUCAUUGGACGGUGUGUCGCGCGAAAUAAUUACGUCGAUAUCUCCAAGGUCAAGGUCACACUUUGAGUUCAAAGGUCAAAAAUGGCCAUAAAUGAGCUUGUCCAAGCCAUAACUAUGUCGUUCAUCGUCAGAUUUUAAAAUCAUUUGGCACAUUUGUUCACCAUCAUUGGACGGUGUGUCGCGCGAAAUAAUUACGUCGAUAUCUCCAAGGUCAAGGUCACACUUUGAGUUCAAAGGUCAAAAAUGGCCAUAAAUGAGCUUGUCCUGGCCAUAACUAUGUCAUUCAUUGUGAGAUUUUAAAAUCAUUUGGCACAUUUGUUCACCAUCAUGGGACGGUGUGUCCCACGAAAGAAUCACGUCAAUAUCUCCAAUGUCAAGGUCGCCACGACUAAAAAUAGAUUUAAAAAAAAAAAAAAACUUACAAAGGGGGUUAAUUUUUUUUGGUCAUUUCAAAAGUUCAGUUUGAGUUUUCUCCCUAUAUCAGAUUUUUUUUCGCAAUGAAAACCUGGUUUUGUGACAAUUUUGUCCCUUGUUUAACGUAUAUACUUACAUACUUAUUAGAUAUGUAAUACACAUUCUUUAUUCAUAUUAGAUAUAAAUUGAACAGAUAUUUAUAUUAUUAGUUUUUAGGAGGUUUACAAUAAGGGAAUUAAUGAUGUACCAAAGAUAACUCGAUUUUUUGUGUUAAGAAAUGCUGCAUUAGUCUGUAUUUACCUGCGUUUAUAGUCUGAUUUAUCUAUAUAAUUUUCAAUGCAUAUUACAGCACACAUUCAUUUUUACCAUGUGUAUGGUUGAGCAAUACCCAUGAUGUGCUAACCGGUAUAGUUUGAAAGUCAACAAUAUUGAAAGAGUUUGUAUGCUUUUGAAUGAUUUAGUCAUUUAACAAAUAUUUUUAAUUAAAUUGAUGAUAAUGGUGUUCAAUAUUUUUUACACCUGUGCAAUAACUUGUAAAUUGUGUUCAUGUUUUUCUUGAGCCUUUGAAAUGUUUUCGAUAUAUUUGCCUAAUGAAACCCGUGCCAAAUUAUGAAGUAAAGCAUUGUUAGAACUGCACCAGUUCUGAACAGUUUUAGUGUUUUACGUGUGUGUUUUUAUAUAGAAGUUGUGUAAUUUUCACACAAAACAACUUUAAGAUUCAACAUAUCUUUAAAUAUGUGCAUUUUUAUAUGUAUGUUUUUUAUAUAGAAGUUGUGUAAUUUUCACACAAAACAACUUUAAGAUUCAACAUAUCUUUAAAUAUGUGCAUUUUUAUGCUUCCCAUAUAUAUAUAUAUGGGGAGCAUAUAGUUGCCAGUUUGGGGUUUCUUACUUACUGCCGUAUCUUUUUUGUUACCGUUUCUUAUAGGGCCUUCAAUAUUUUACCGAUCUCUGACAUAUUUGGCAUGUACGUACCUUGCAUGGACCUCUACCUUUUGAUGAUGUUUGAGGUCACUGUGGUCAAGGUCAAGGUCACUGAGGCUUAUAAUAGAUUUUCCGUCACAAUUUUGUUAGUUUCUCAUAGCACCUUACAUAUUUUCCCGAUCUCUUACAUAUUUGGCAUGUAGGUACCUUUCAUGGACCUCUACCUUUUGAUGAGGUUUAAGUUAUUGGGGUCAAGGUCAAGGUCACCAAGGCGAAUAAUAGAUUUUCUGUUACAGUUUUGUUACAGUUUCUCAUAGCACCUUCAAUAUUUAACAGAUCUCUUACAUAUUUGGCAUGUAGGUACUUUGCAUGGACCUCUACCUUUUGAUGAGGUUUGAGGUCACUGGGGUCAAGGUCACCGAAGCUAAUAAUAGAUUUUCUCAAUGUCACACUUUGGUUACAGUUUCUCAUAGCGCCUAUAAUAUUUGAUCGAUCUCUUAUAUUUGGGAUGAAGGUACUUUGCAUGGACCUCUUCCUUUUUGAUGAGGUUUGAGGUCACUGGGGUCAAGGUCACUGAGGCUAAUAAUAGAUUUUCUCAAGGUCACACUUUUUUCCACACAAACCAUAUAUCGACAAAGCAUCAAUGGGGAGCAUCCAUCAGUUUUACUGAUAUCCUUGUUUUUAUUAGUCAUGUGUUCUUUUAUUUGUAUGCAAAUCUUAAUAAUUAUGGUAUACAGUCCUGAAAUGUGGAUAUAAAAACAUAUUUCCCCCAAAAUAUAGCAAUAUAUAAAAACCUAUGCAUAUUCACACUUUUAAAGAAUAUAUUUAUCAAGUACUUGAAAUGCAUGGAUACAAACUUUGAGAAAAGCAUAUUUAAUGCUUUUAUUUUCCACACGUGCCUUUUGAUGUAUUAGAAUUGACACCUACAAUAUUCAUAUAAUGUUCUGAAAAUGUUAUGCCACUGUAAAAUAGUUACCUGUAGUGUGCAUGUGGAUAAAUGUACUGUAAGUAUAAUAAUUGUAUACUAAUUUUGCGACUACUACAUAUUUUUUGUGUUUCUGUGCGUUUACACGAACAGGAAAUUUCUUUUGAAAACAAUUGUAUUCAUACUUAUUUAAAGAUAAGUGUGUUUUUAUUAUGCUGUAUUAGCGCUUAAUAAGCACCUUAAAUCAAGCUCAUACUUUGUUUUGUCCAAUUUGAAAUUUGGAAUAGUUAUCACUGGCAAAAAUAUUUACUGAUAUGUUAUCUCUGUUUUAUUUUGGAUGAAUCUCAUAAUCUCAUACUCAGGACCAGAAUUCCGUUCUAGCCUGGUUUAAACUUUAGCCAUUAACUAUUUAAUGGUGUUUUUGUUUUGUUCUUUGUGCAAUAUUCAUUUAAGUCAAUGAAAUAUUUUUUUGGAAUGUUACUAGUUUUUUGUCUUUUGCUGUCUUCCUUGAUAGUUUACAUGCAGUUUUACAUGUUUAUAGCUCUUAUGUGACUAUUGAAAUCCACAAAUCUAGUCAGUUUUCUUAUACAUAGUUUUAUAUAAAAAUUCGGUGAUGUAUCAUUAUCAUUAUAUUUGUGACUUUGUUGUGAUGACUGGUGUUAUGUACCGGUAUACUUCGUUAUCCUGUUUUAUUUGUUUUUGAUUUUGAAUCUUUUCUAGUCAUUUGUUCUGAUCCUCUGUGACUUGUUAAACCACGAAAAUGUUUGCAAAAAUCCUUGUAUGAUCAUGUAAAAUUCGACUUAAAGAUUUGGCAUUAUUGUGGUAUAUUUGCCAAUAAGCAAAUUUCUAUUGUUAUGUUACCUGUUGUGUCUUGUAUUGAGUCUUGUAAUCUUUAAGUCAGAACUGUCUGAGUUUUGGAUGUUUGAAUCUGAACUUGA